UAAUACCGGAUAGAUCAAAGAUACUGGAAUGUUCCUUGAUCCAAAGCUCCGGCGUCCAAGGAUGGAUCUGCGGCCUAUCAGGUAGUAGUGGGUGUAACGUACCUACUAGCCUACGACGGGUACGGGUUGUGAGAGCAAGAGCCCGGAGAUGGAUUCUGAGACAUGAAUCCAGGCCCUACGGGGCGCAGCAGGCGCGAAAUCUUUACAAUGCAGGAAACUGCGAUAAGGGGACCCCGAGUGCCAGCAUCUAAUGCUGGCUGUCCAGCUGUGUAAAUAGCAGUUGUUAGCAAGGGCCGGGCAAGACCGGUGCCAGCCGCCGCGGUAACACCGGCGGCCCGAGUGGUAACCGAUUUUAUUGGGUUUAAAGGGUCCGUAGCCGGCCUGUUAAGUCUCUUGGGAAAUCUGGCGGCUUAAUCGUCAGGCGUUC
rnacentral:rRNA from 1 species